AUUUAAAGGUGGCAACACUUUUAAUGCGCAAGUGGCGAACGGGUGAGUAACGCGUAGGUAAUUUUCCUAAGAGAGUAGAAUAACCUUCUGAAAGGAAGGCUAAUACUAAAUGUUGUAUUUUCUCCGCAUGGAAUUAAUACCAAAGGUAGCCGUAAGGCCUCCGCUCUUAGAUUAACCUGCGUCCUAUUAGUUAGUUGGUAAGGUAACGGCUUACCAAGACAAUGAUGGGUAGCCGGCUUGAGAGGGUGAACGGUCACACUGGGACUGAGAUACGGCCCAGACUCCUACGGGAGGCAGCAGUAGGGAAUAUUGCGCAAUGGGCGAAAGCCUGACGCAGCGACACCGUGUGAAGGAUGAAGGUCUUCGGAUCGUAAACUUCUGUCAAUUGGGGACGAAGGUAAGUAGGGUUAAUAGCCUCAAUACUGACGGUACCUAAUAAGGAAGUCUCGGCUAACUCCGUGCCAGCAGCCGCGGUAAGACGGAGGAGGCAAGCGUUGUCCGGAAUUAUUGGGCGUAAAGAGCGCGUAGGCGGGUUUCCAAGUCCAUGUGUGAAAACUUAAGGGCUUAACUUAAAGAUUGCAUAUGAAACUGGGAAUCUUGAGUACGGUAAAGGAAAGUGGAAUUCCUGGUGUAGCGGUGAAAUGCGCAGAUUUCAGGAAGAACACCAGUUGGCGAAUGCGGCUUUCUGGACCGUUACUGACGCUGAGGCGCGAAAGCUAAGGGUAGCGAACCAGGAUUAGAUACCCUGGAAGUCUAAGUUGUAAACGACGGAUUACUAGGUGUGGGAAGUUAAUCGACGCCUUCUGUGGCCAAGCUAACGCAUUAAGUAUCCCCCCUGGGGAGUCCGCCCGCAAGGCUAAAACUCAAAGGAAUUUGACGGGGGCCCGCACAAGCGGCGGACCAUUGGGGCUUAAUUCGACGCAACGCGAAGAACCUUACCAAGGUUUGACAUCAUACUGAUCAGUUGUAGAAAUACAACUUUCCUUCGGGACAGUAUGACAGGUGGUGCAUGGCUGUCGUCAGCUCGUGUCGUGAGAUGUUGGGUUUAAGUCCCGCAACGAGCGCAACCCCUGUCCCAUGUUGCCAGCAGGUUAUGCUGGGCACUCUUGGGAGACUGCCGGUGUAAAACUGGAGGAAGGUGGGGAUGACGUCAAGUCCUCAUG
rnacentral:rRNA from 1 species